rnacentral:rRNA from 1 species
GGGUGAGAAUCCCGUCCACCGAUUGACUAAGGUUUCCAGAGGAAGGCUCGUCCGCUCUGGGUUAGUCGGGUCCUAAGCUGAGGCCGACAGGCGUAAGCGAUGGAUAACAGGUUGAUAUUCCUGUACCACCUAUAAUCGUUUUAAUCGAUGGGGGGACGCAGUAGGAUAGGCGAAGCGUGCGAUUGGAUUGCACGUCUAAGCAGUAAGGCUGAGUAUUAGGCAAAUCCGGUACUCAUUAAGGCUGAGCUGUGAUGGGGAGAAGACAUUGUGUCUUCGAGUCGUUGAUUUCACACUGCCGAGAAAAGCCUCUAGAUAGAAAAUAGGUGCCCGUACCGCAAACCGACACAGGUAGUCAAGAUGAGAAUUCUAAGGUGAGCGAGCGAACUCUCGUUAAGGAACUCGGCAAAAUGACCCCGUAACUUCGGGAGAAGGGGUGCUCUUUAGGGUUAACGCCCAGAAGAGCCGCAGUGAAUAGGCCCAAGCGACUGUUUAUCAAAAACACAGGUCUCUGCUAAACCGUAAGGUGAUGUAUAGGGGCUGACGCCUGCCCGGUGCUGGAAGGUUAAGAGGAGUGGUUAGCUUCUGCGAAGCUACGAAUCGAAGCCCCAGUAAACGGCGGCCGUAACUAUAACGGUCCUAAGGUAGCGAAAUUCCUUGUCGGGUAAGUUCCGACCCGCACGAAAGGCGUAACGAUUUGGGCACUGUCUCAACGAGAGACUCGGUGAAAUCAUAGUACCUGUGAAGAUGCAGGUUACCCGCGACAGGACGGAAAGACCCCGUGGAGCUUUACUGUAGCCUGAUAUUGAAAUUCGGCACAGCUUGUACAGGAUAGGUAGGAGCCUUUGAAACGUGAGCGCUAGCUUACGUGGAGGCGCUGGUGGGAUACUACCCUAGCUGUGUUGGCUUUCUAACCCGCACCACUUAUCGUGGUGGGAGACAGUGUCAGGCGGGCAGUUUGACUGGGGCGGUCGCCUCCUAAAAGGUAACGGAGGCGCUCAAAGGUUCCCUCAGAAUGGUUGGAAAUCAUUCAUAGAGUGUAAAGGCAUAAGGGAGCUUGACUGCGAGACCUACAAGUCGAGCAGGGUCGAAAGACGGACUUAGUGAUCCGGUGGUUCCGCAUGGAAGGGCCAUCGCUCAACGGAUAAAAGCUACCCCGGGGAUAACAGGCUUAUCUCCCCCAAGAGUUCACAUCGACGGGGAGGUUUGGCACCUCGAUGUCGGCUCAUCGCAUCCUGGGGCUGUAGUCGGUCCCAAGGGUUGGGCUGUUCGCCCAUUAAAGCGGUACGCGAGCUGGGUUCAGAACGUCGUGAGACAGUUCGGUCCCUAUCCGUCGUGGGCGUAGGAAAUUUGAGAGGAGCUGUCCUUAGUACGAGAGGACCGGGAUGGACAUACCUCUGGUGUACCAGUUGUCGUGCCAACGGCAUAGCUGGGUAGCUAUGUGUGGACGGGAUAAGUGCUGAAAGCAUCUAAGCAUGAAGCCCCCCUCAAGAUGAGAUUUCCCAACUUCGGUUAUAAGAUCCCUCAAAGAUGAUGAGGUUAAUAGGUUCGAGGUGGAAGCAUGGUGACAUGUGGAGCUGACGAAUACUAAUCGAUCGAAGACUUAAUCAA